UUAAGGUAGUUAUAGACAGUACAGCAACAAUAAUAAUAAUAAUAAUAAUAAUAAUAAGUCACUGUUUGUUAAGGUAGUUAUAGACAGUACAGCAACAAUAAUAAUAAUAAUAAUAAUAAUAAUAAUAAUAAUAAUAAUAAGUCACUGUUUGUUAAGGUAGUUAUAGACAGUACAGCAACAAUAAUAAUAAUAAUAAGUCACUGUUUGUUAAGGUAGUUCUAGACAGUACAGCAACAAUAACAAUAAUAAUAAUAAUAA